rnacentral:rRNA from 1 species
GACGGAGGGUGCAAGCGUUGUUCGGAUUGACUGGGCGUAAAGGGCGUGUAGGCGGUUCGUUAAGUCGGGUGUGAAAGCCCGGGGCUCAGCUCCGGAAGUGCGCCCGAAACUGGCGAGCUGGAGCGCGGUAGAGGAGGGUGGAAUUCCUGGUGUAGCGGUGAAAUGCGCAGAUAUCAGGAGGAACACCGAUUGCGAAGGCAGCUCGCUGGAACGUUACCGAGCUGAGACGCGAAAGCGUGGGGAGCAAACAGG